rnacentral:rRNA from 3 species
UACGGAGGUGGCGAGCGUUGUUCGGAAUCACUGGGCGUAAAGGGCGCGUAGGCGGGGUCGGAAGUCGGGUGUGAAAGCCCCGGGCUCAACCCGGGAACGGCGCCCGAGACUCUGGCUCUUGAGUCCCGGAGAGGCGGGUGGAAUUCCUGGUGUAGCGGUGAAAUGUGUAGAGAUCAGGAGGAACACCGGUGGCGUAGGCGGCCCGCUGGACGGAGACUGACGCUGAGGCGCGAAAGCGUGGGGAGCAAACGGG